UACGUAGGGACCAAGCGUUGUUCGGAUUUACUGGGCGUAAAGGGCGCGUAGGCGGCAAUUCAAGUCAUCUGUGAAAUCUCCGGGCUUAACUCGGAACGGUCAGGUGAUACUGCUUUGCUAGAGUGCGGAAGGGGCAAUCGGAAUUCUUGGUGUAGCGGUGAAAUGCGUAGAUAUCGGAAGGAACAUCAGUGGCGAAAGCGACUUCCUGGACCAAUACUGACGCUCAUGUGCGAAAGCGUGGGGAGCAAACAGG
rnacentral:rRNA from 1 species